rnacentral:rRNA from 1 species
AUUGAACGCUGGCGGAAUGCUUUACACAUGCAAGUCGAACGGCAGCACGGACUUCGGUCUGGUGGCGAGUGGCGAACGGGUGAGUAACAUAUCGGAACGUAUCCAAUAAUGGGGGAUAACGAGUCGAAAGAUUCGCUAAUACCGCAUACGCUCUACGGGGGAAAGCUGGGGACCUUCGGGCCUGGCGUUAAUGGAGCGGCCGAUAUCUGAUUAGCUAGUUGGUGAGGUAAAGGCUCACGAAGGCGACGAUCAGUAGCUGGUCUGAGAGGACGACCAGCCACACUGGGACUGAGACACGGUCCAGACUCCGAAGGGAGGCAGCAGUGGGGAAUUUUGGACAAUGGGCGCAAGCCUGAUCCAGCCAUUCCGCGUGAGUGAAGAAGGCCUUCGGGUUGUAAAGCUCUUUCGCAAGGGAAGAAAACUUAGCCACUAACAUUGGUUGAGGUUGACGGUACCUUGAUAAGAAGCACCGGCUAACUACGUGCCAGCCGCCGCCGUAA